GACUGGCCCAAGUUCCUGCCGCACGGAAGACUGGAAGGCGCCAGAGACAAACCGGAGCUGCGGGCUCUACCCGCGGUGUGCUCUCGCUCAAGCAGACGUCAGCCAGGCCGAGGCCGCAGGAAGAGCCUGCGAGUCAGGCGGAGAAGCAGCAACUGAGGCAGAAGACACCACGCAAGGAGGCUCCAGAUCAACCACUCUCUCUCCAUGUCACUCUGGGCCCCGCAAGGCCCUGCCCCUCCACCCUGGCCGCAGUGGAGCCUGGUCCUGGGGAGUCCCGAGGGUCCCACACACCUGCACAGGCCCCCCACUCCCCAAGGGGCUCAUGCACAGCUCUGUGCUGGGCCAGCUGUGCUGCCAGCCUGGGAUUCACUCCGAAGCAGCCCCCGUCCCGUAGGAGCCUCAGUGCAGCCUCCUGGCUGUCCUGUUCUGAUGCUGCCCUUGUCACAGCGGGUGGCACAGAAGCUGUCCGGCCGAGGGUCGCCAGCCAGCGAGGGGCAGCUCUAAGACCGAAGCCAGGCGGAGUGGGAGCCAGACACAAGCCUGUGUCUAUAAAUAUAUGGCCUCCCAAACUAACAUUAUCAAGAGUAAUUCUUCUAGUACCAUGAAAAGAGCAAGCACAGGGUUGAAAAUACCCUUAGCCAAGUGAGUAACUUGUCUCUAAUGCGGGAUGCGUGGACAUGAGGCCUGAAGACACAGCCGCC
rnacentral:lncRNA from 1 species